ACUGUGAGGCCAUAGAGCAGCUGCACACACUAUUUUAAUUGGUCAAAUGCAAUAAAAGGAUUUUUUUUGUCAUAGAUGAGGUACACUGCCAGGAGGUCCAUAACUCAAGUGUAAACAUAGUGCACACCAAUCAACCCUGCACAUGUAUAGAGAUACCCGAUAAAUGUUGGAGGCUGCACCUUCGUUUUUCCUGUGCCUGAUAUGGAGAGGCUCAUUCUGUUUCAACAGGGAAUAGGCAGACAGCUGCUGCAACAGAAUAUGCAAACUGAGCCAAAGGUAAGCAGGUAAGUUUCAUGUGGGCAAACUGCACUGAUAUGCAAGAUAACAAAGUUCGAAGGGCCAGCAUGCCCACAUGCUCUGGCUUGAGUGAGGUCUCACUUCUCGAUAAUUGAACCAUGCUUAGUGUACUUUUGGCUUCAUAUUCACAGGGGCAGUGAAAACGAAUAUGAAUAACACAGAAAUAGUUGUCUUGAGCCUCAUAGCUGAUUAACAUGACAUCUGCACACAUGUGCAGGAGUACCAAUAAUCAGUCAUACAUUUUACAGUGAAGUUGUGCUGGUUACGUCAAUGAUGGCACAUUGCUCUUUACUCUCACUGGAUAGAGAGUGCCAUGGCAGUUAUGAUCCAGAAAAAUUAUCAAAAGGUGUCCCAUUUUACACUGUCAAGUAGCUUUGGAGAC
rnacentral:lncRNA from 1 species